rnacentral:misc_RNA from 1 species
GAAAUGCGAUAAGUAAUGUGAAUUGCAGAAUUCAGUGAAUCAUCGAAUCUUUGAACGCACAUUGCGCCCGCCAGCACUCUGGCGGGCAUGCCUGUUCGAGCGUCAUUUCAACCCUCAGAACCCCUUGCGGGAUCUGGCGUUGGGGAUUGGCAUCCUGCCAGCCCCGAAAUCUAGUGGCGGUCCCUCCGCGACCUCCCCUGUGCAGUAGCGAUACCUCGCAGCGGGACAGCGGUCUGACCACGCCGUAAAACCCCCAACUUCUCAAGGUUGACCUCGAAUCAGGUAGGAAUACCCGCUGAACUUAAGC